rnacentral:SRP_RNA from 1 species
GCUGGGUAUGGUGGAAUCACCUGUAGUCCCAGGUACUAGGGAGCCUGGGGCGGGAGGAUAGCUUGAGUUCAGGAGUUCCAGGGUGUCGUGUACACUAAGUUCAGCAUCUAUAUGGCGACCUCCUGGGACUGGGGGACCACCAGGUUGCCUAAGGAGUAGUGAACCAGCCCGGGUCAGAAACAGAGCAAGUCAAAACUAAUUAGUAGUGGGAUUGCACCUGUCAAUAGACACUGCACUCCAGCCCGAGCAACAUAGCAAGACUCUGUCUUA